AUGGAGAAAGACUACAGCUCCGGGCGAAGGUUAAACAACCUCUUCCGACUAGCAAAUUUAGUGCAAGCGUGUAUGAAAACUACAGGUUGUAUGAAAUAAAAUGGAGCUUCCAACUUCACCUGUCCACAAAAGCAUGGUAUUGCAGUAUUUGCCCUCACCUUCAAGUCUCUGCACUGCGACUGGAGCCAGUCGUUGAUGAAACCCUGCGGGUCUCGUGCAAAGCUCAACAUGAACUCCCUUUGAGUCUUCAACUGGUUAAUAGUUUCAAUGGUCUCAUGGAUCUGAGGGAACAAGCAAACAUGUGUGAGGGAUCAUGUUUAACAUUUUAAUUACACAACAAUUAGUUCUGCUUCACUACUUUGGAUUGUAAUAAAAUAUUAACUUUGUUAUUGAACUGCAGUAUGAGAGCAAUCACACUCAAUCUUGCCAAACAUCAUUGAGGUUUUAUUGUAGUCUGAGCUUUCAUUAACACAAACUGUCACAAAAUACAAAGUUCAAACAUUGACUGUGAAGGACAGAGAUUUGGACUGUUGCAAACUAACUAGUGAGCCAACUGGGUCAAAGGGGAAUAACCAAAAAGAAGGG